GACGAACGCUGGCGGCGUGCUUAACACAUGCAAGUCGAACGAAGUGGCGAACGGGUGAGUAACGCGUAAUCAACCUGCCCUUCAGAGGGGGACAACAGUUGGACACGACUGCUAAUACCGCAUACUGAAGGAGUGGGUUGCGUCUGAUGAGCUAGUUGGAGGGGUAACGGCCCACCAAGGCGAUGAUCAGUAGCCGGCCUGAGAGGAUGAACGGACACAGUGGGACUGAGACACGGCCCAGAGCCCUACGGGAGGCAGCAGUGGGGAAGUGUCCGAAAUGGACGAAAGUCUGACGGAGCAACGCCGCGUGAGUGAUGACGGCCUUCGGGUUGUAAAGCGCUGUUAAUCGGGACGCGGUACCGGAAUAGAAAGCCACGGCUAACUACGUGCCAGCAGUCGCGGUAAUAC
rnacentral:rRNA from 1 species